rnacentral:rRNA from 1 species
CAGUCGCCGCGGUAAUACGUAGGUGGCAAGCGUUGUCCGGAAUUAUUGGGCGUAAAGGGCUCGCAGGCGGUUUCUUAAGUCUGAUGUGAAGGCCCCCGGCUCAACCGGGGAGGGUCAUUGGAAACUGGGAAACUUGAGUGCAGAAGAGGAGAGUGGAAUUCCACGUGUAGCGGUGAAAUGCGUAGAGAUGUGGAGGAACACCAGUGGCGAAGGCGACUCUCUGGUCUGUAACUGACGCUGAGGAGCGAAAGCGUGGGGAGCGAACAGGAUUAGAUACCCGGGUAGUCCCUGUCUCUUAUAC